GAUGAACGCUGGCGGCGUGCCUAAUACAUGCAAGUCGAGCGAACUGAUUAGAAGCUUGCUUCUAUGACGUUAGCGGCGGACGGGUGAGUAACACGUGGGCAACCUGCCUGUAAGACUGGGAUAACUUCGGGAAACCGAAGCUAAUACCGGAUAGGAUCUUCUCCUUCAUGGGAGAUGAUUGAAAGAUGGUUUCGGCUAUCACUUACAGAUGGGCCCGCGGUGCAUUAGCUAGUUGGUGAGGUAACGGCUCACCAAGGCAACGAUGCAUAGCCGACCUGAGAGGGUGAUCGGCCACACUGGGACUGAGACACGGCCCAGACUCCUACGGGAGGCAGCAGUAGGGAAUCUGCCGCAAUGGACGAAAGUCUGACGGAGCAACGCCGCGUGAGUGAUGAAGGCUUUCGGGUCGUAAAACUCUGUUGUUAGGGAAGAACAAGUACAAGAGUAACUGCUUGUACCUUGACGGUACCUAACCAGAAAGCCACGGCUAACUACGUGCCAGCCGCCGCGGUAAGAC
rnacentral:rRNA from 1 species